rnacentral:rRNA from 1 species
GGCUCAGAUUGAACGCUGGCGGAAUGCUUUACACAUGCAAGUCGAGCGGCAGCGCGGGGCAACCUGGCGGCGAGCGGCGAACGGGUGAGUAAUACAUCGGAACGUGCCCAGACGUGGGGGAUAACUACUCGAAAGAGUGGCUAAUACCGCAUACGAUCUACGGAUGAAAGCGGGGGAUCGCAAGACCUCGCGCGUCUGGAGCGGCUGAUGGCAGAUUAGGUAGUUGGUGGGAUAAAAGCCUACCAAGCCAACGAUCUGUAGCUGGUCUGAGAGGAUGAUCAGCCACACUGGGACUGAGACACGGCCCAGACUCCUACGGGAGGCAGCAGUGGGGAAUUUUGGACAAUGGGCGAAGCCUGAUCCAGCCAUUCCGCGUGCAGGAUGAAGGCCCUCGGGUGUAACUGCUUUGUACAGAACGAAAAAGCUACUGGCUAAUACCUGGAGUCCAUGACGGUACUGUAAGAAUAAGCACCGGCUAACUACGUGCCAGCA